GGGCCUGUAGCUCAAUCGGUUAGAGCAGCGGACUCAUAAUCCGUUGGUUCCUGGUUCGAGUCCAGGCGGGCCCACCA
rnacentral:tRNA from 1 species